rnacentral:rRNA from 1 species
ACGUAGGGCGCAAGCGUUGUCCGGAAUUAUUGGGCGUAAAGAGCUUGUAGGUGGCUUGUCGCGUCUGCCGUGAAAACCCGAGGCUCAACCUCGGGCGUGCGGUGGGUACGGGCAGGCUAGAGUGUGGUAGGGGAGACUGGAACUCCUGGUGUAGCGGUGAAAUGCGCAGAUAUCAGGAAGAACACCGAUGGCGAAGGCAGGUCUCUGGGCCAUUACUGACACUGAGAAGCGAAAGCAUGGGUAGCGAACAG